rnacentral:rRNA from 1 species
GACAGAGGUCCCGAGCGUUAGGCGGAAUCACUGGGCUUAAAGCGUGUGUAGGCGGAUGCCUAAGUACCUUGUGAAAUCCCACGGCUUAACCGUGGAACUGCUCGGUAUACUGGGUGUCUUGAGCCACUUAGGGGCUACCGGAACAAAUGGUGGAGCGGUGAAAUGCGUAGAUAUCAUUUGGAACGCCAAUGGUGAAAACAGGUAGCUGGGAGUGUGCUGACGCUGAGACACGAAAGCUAGGGUAGCGAACGGG